AGGGUUUGAUCAUGGCUCAGGACGAACGCUGGCGGUGCGCCUUAUGCAUGCAAGUCGAGCGAAGCUUUUUGGUAGUUUACUACUAGAAAUGACUGAGCGGCGAACGGGUGAGUAACGCGUGAGCAAUCUACCUUAGUUACUGGGAUAGCCCGAGGAAACUCGGAUUAAUACCAGAUAUUCUUAUUUUUUCACAUGAAGUUUUAAGGAAAGGUCAGCCGAACUAAGAUGAGCUCGCGUUCUAUCAGCUAGUUGGUGGGGUAAAAGCCUACCAAGGCUACGACGGAUAGCUGGUCUGAGAGGACGAUCAGCCACACUGGGACUGAGACACGGCCCAGACUCCUACGGGAGGCUGCAGCAGGGAAUAUUGUGCAAUGAGCGAAAGCUUGACACAGCGACACCGCGUGUGGGAUGACGGUUCUAGGAUUGUAAACCACUUUCAGGAGGGAAGAAAAUGACGGUACCUCCACAAGAAGACCCGGCCAACUAUGUGCCAGCAGCCGCGGUAAUUC
rnacentral:rRNA from 1 species